UACGAAGGUGGCGAGCGUUGUUCGGAUUCACUGGGCAUAAAGGGCGCGUAGGCGGUUCGGCAAGCGGCGUGUGAAAUCCCGGAGCUCAACUCCGGAAUUGCGCGCCGAACUGCCGGGCUAGAGGACGAGAGGGGGGUGUGGAACUCUAGGUGUAGCGGUGAAAUGCGUAGAUAUCUAGAGGAACGCCGGUGGCGAAAGCGACACCCUGGCUCGACCCUGACGCUGAGGCGCUAAAGCGUGGGUAGCAAACAGG
rnacentral:rRNA from 1 species